GACGAACGCUGGCGGCAUGCCUAACACAUGCAAGUCGAACGCGACCUUCGUGUCUAGUGGCGCACGGGUGCGUAACGCGUGUGACCCUGCCCUUAGGUUCGGGAUAACUCCCCGCAAGGGGUGCUAAUACCGGUUAAUGUCUUCGGACCAAAGAUUUAUCGCCUUUGGAUGGGCCCGCGUUGGUUUAGCGAGUUGGUAGGGUAAAAGCCUACCAAGGCGACGAUCCAUAGCUGGUAUGAGAGGAUGAUCAGCCACACUGGGACAGAGACACGUUCCAGACUCCUACGGAAGGCAGCAGGUGGGAAUAAUGGACAAUGGGCGAGAGACUGAUCCAUCAAUGCCGCGUGAGUGAUGAAGGCGUUAGGGUUGUAAAGCUCUUUUACAAGGGAUGACAAUGACAGUACCGGGAGAAUAAGCUCCGGCUAACUCCGUG
rnacentral:rRNA from 1 species